ACCUCCUGUGCCUACUGAGCUGAUAACAGUGUAUGUAAAGAGUACUGGCUCAGUUCAGCAGGAACCGGAGU
rnacentral:pre_miRNA from 1 species